CUCACACCGAAAUCUAGAUGGAUAAAUAGCACUACAGAGCCAUGAUGACACAAGGUGCUGUGUAAAGAUGAGCCACCUUUUAAAGGAAACAACAGAGCAGGAAAAAUGAACAGCUUCUUGCUCUGUUUAAAGGAAAUUUAUCUCUAAAGCAACUUAGUUCCAAGCCAAGCUUCUCACCUUUUCAUCUCCUCCUGAUGACACUUUCAGCAUCUCAGUGAUAUAUUUCCUCUACUCAUUAUCCAGUAUCAUCCUCCCUGCCACCAGAUGGCAGCCUGACCACAGCAGCUGCUCCAGCAUGUCCAGCUGGGAUGGCACUCGGCUGAGAGGUGGAGCAUUUAAGGGUAUCAGUAGAUAGGUUGUCUGCCAGAGAGCACUGUGUAUCCCUGGCACCAAUAAACAAGCAAAACAGGACAUUUGUUUCUUUACAAAGGUCGCCUGGAACUGAGUCAUAUUUCAACAUCUAUUCCAGAGGAGUGUCUGCCAAAGUCACAAUAAUGAUUAUGUAAUUUAAAGGAACCCAUGUUGCUGUAACAAACCACUGAACCAUGUCACGUUCAGUGCUUUGAUUUUAAAGUUUAAUGCUAUGACAAUAGUCUAUCAUGUUAUAAGUGUCUAUUUAUCACAAUAAAACAAUAAAAAUAAACAUUUGA